rnacentral:rRNA from 1 species
UACGGGGGGGGGAAGCGUUGUUCGGAAUUACUGGGCGUAAAGGGCUCGUAGGCGGCCAACUAAGUCGGACGUGAAAUCCCCAGGCUCAACCUGGGAACUGCGUCCGAUACUGGAUGGCUUGAAUCCGGGAGAGGGAUGCAGAAUUCCAGGUGUAGCGGUGAAAUGCGUAGAUAUCUGGAGGAAUACCGGUGGCGAAGGCGGCAUCCUGGACCAAUACUGACGCUGAGGAGCGAAAGCCAGGGGAGCAAACGGG